rnacentral:rRNA from 1 species
GGAAUUACUGGGCGUAAAGCGCACGCAGGCGGUCUGUCAAGUCGGAUGUGAAAUCCCCGGGCUCAACCUGGGAACUGCAUUCGAAACUGGCAGGCUAGAGUCUUGUAGAGGGGGGUAGAAUUCCAGGUGUAGCGGUGAAAUGCGUAGAGAUCUGGAGGAAUACCGGUGGCGAAGGCGGCCCCCUGGACAAAGACUGACGCUCAGGUGCGAAAGCGUGGGGAGCAAACAGGAUUAGAUACCCUGGUAGUCCACGCUGUAAACGAUGUCGAUUUGGAGGUUGUGCCCUUGAGGCGUGGCUUCCGGAGCUAACGCGUUAAAUCGACCGCCUGGGGAGUACGGCCGCAAGGUUAAAACUCAAAUGAAUUGACGGGGGCCCGCACAAGCGGUGGAGCAUGUGGUUUAAUUCGAUGCAACGCGAAGAACCUUACCUGGUCUUGACAUCCACAGAACUUUCCAGAGAUGGAUUGGUGCCUUCGGGAACUGUGAGACAGGUGCUGCAUGGCUGUCGUCAGCUCGUGUUGUGAAAUGUUGGGUUAAGUCCCGCAACGAGCGCAACCCUUAUCCUUUGUUGCCAGCGGUUAGGCCGGGAACUCAAAGGAGACUGCCAGUGAUAAACUGGAGGAAGGUGGGGAUGACGUCAAGUCAUCAUGGCCCUUACGACCAGGGCUACACACGUGCUACAAUGGCAUAUACAAAGAGAAGCGACCUCGCGAGAGCAAGCGGACCUCAUAAAGUAUGUCGUAGUCCGGAUUGGAGUCUGCAACUCGACUCCAUGAAGUCGGAAUCGCUAGUAAUCGUAGAUCAGAAUGCUACGGUGAAUACGUUCCCGGGCCUUGUACACACCGCCCGUCACACCAUGGGAGUGGGUUGCAAAAGAAGUAGGUAGCUUAACCUUCGGGAGGGCGCUUACCACUUUGUGAUUCAUGACU